GGGGAGAUAGCCAAGCGGCCAACGGCAACAGACUGUAAAUCUGUCCUCAUACGAGUUCGAAGGUUCGAAUCCUUCUCUCCCCACCA
rnacentral:tRNA from 2 species